rnacentral:lncRNA from 1 species
UUCUCUGGAAAAGAGGAGAACGAAGUGAAGAGGAAAUGUAUUCCUGACAGAGCUGGUACUCUGAUCUCCUACUGCAGGGAGUAAUCAACCAAUAACUUGGUAUUAGCCAACUGCCACUGUUUGGUGUUUUAAGAGAAGAGGAUGCUGGGAUGGAGUGUGAGACCAGAAGCGUUAUCAUGCAGCGAUAAAGUGCAGAGGUCCACAGCCAAAGAGCUGCUCUACAAGCGUGGGUGGAGUCCUCGGUAGCAGACAGCAGCGUGCCAUGUUCACUGCCACAUGCUGUCACCACCAGCGGGCUGCUGACAGAUCCAGCCUUGAAAGCAAACUGUCAAGGAAGGAGCUUGAGGAAAUGGACUUCUGUCUUCCCCUGGAUCUUUGGAUCCGUUCUUACUUCCCUCCCUGCCUCGUUCUUCUCUUCUGCUUGAUCUGACAAUCACGAUAAUGUCUUGAACACCUGGUGCUGUGGAAGCUCUUCUGAUGUCAUCUGACAAGCACGUGAAAUGAUGAGGUUGGUGCCAUAGUUCAGACCUUAAAUAAAGGUCCUUCUGGGAACCUGAGCUGAUUUUUU